GACGAACGCUGGCGGCGUGCUUAACACAUGCAAGUCGAACGGAAAGGCCCUGCUUUUGUGGGGUGCUCGAGUGGCGAACGGGUAAGUAACACGUGAGUAACCUACCCUUGACUUUGGGAUAACUUCAGGAAACUGGGGCUAAUACCGGAUAGGAGCUCCUGCUGCAUGGUGGGGGUUGGAAAGUUUCGGCGGUUGGGGAUGGACUCGCGGCUUAUCAGCUUGUUGGUGGGGUAGUGGCUUACCAAGGCUUUGACGGGUAGCCGGCCUGAGAGGGUGACCGGCCACAUUGGGACUGAGAUACGGCCCAGACUCCUACGGGAGGCAGCAGUGGGGAAUAUUGCACAAUGGGCGGAAGCCUGAUGCAGCAACGCCGCGUGCGGGAUGACGGCCUUCGGGUUGUAAACCGCUUUCGCCUGUGACGAAGCGUGAGUGACGGUAAUGGGUAAAGAAGCACCGGCUAACUACGUG
rnacentral:rRNA from 1 species